CUAAGAAUCUUCCGCAAUGGGCGAAAGCCUGACGGAGCGACGCCGCGUGGAUGAAGAAGGCGGAAACGUUGUAAAAUCCUUUUCUUGAGGAGGAAUAAACCUGCCAGGGAAUGGGCGGGAGAUGACGUUAAUCAAGGAAUAAGCCCCGGCUAAUUACGUGCCAGCAGCCGCGGUAACACGUAAGGGGCGAGCGUUGUUCGGAAUUAUUGGGCGUAAAGGGCGUGUAGGCGGUUUUGCAAGCCUGGUGUUAAAUAUCACAGCUUAACUGUGGAGGAGCGCUGGGAACUGCAGGACUGGAGUCUAGGAGGGGAAGCUGGAAUUCCAGGUGUAGGGGUGAAAUCUGUAGAUAUCUGGAAGAACACCGGUGGCGAAGGCGAGCUUCUGGCCAUAGACUGACGCUGCGGCGCGAAAGCGUGGGGAGCGAACAG
rnacentral:rRNA from 1 species